GAUGAACGCUGGCGGCGUGCCUAAUACAUGCAAGUCGAGCGAACAGACGAGGAGCUUGCUCCUCUGACGUUAGCGGCGGACGGGUGAGUAACACGUGGAUAACCUACCUAUAAGACUGGGAUAACUUCGGGAAACCGGAGCUAAUACCGGAUAAUAUCUUGAACCGCAUGGUUCAAUAGUGAAAGACGGUUUUGCUGUCACUUAUAGAUGGAUCCGCGCCGCAUUAGCUAGUUGGUAAGGUAACGGCUUACCAAGGCAACGAUGCGUAGCCGACCUGAGAGGGUGAUCGGACACACUGGAACUGAGACACGGUCCAGACUCCUACGGGAGGCAGCAGUAGGGAAUCUUCCGCAAUGGGCGAAAGCCUGACGGAGCAACGCCGCGUGAGUGAUGAAGGUCUUCGGAUCGUAAAACUCUGUUAUUAGGGAAGAACAAAUGUGUAAGUAACUAUGCACGUCUUGACGGUACCUAAUCAGAAAGCCACGGCUAACUACGUG
rnacentral:rRNA from 1 species